rnacentral:lncRNA from 10 species
CGACAGAGCAAGACCGUGUCUCAAAACGAACCAGCAAAACAACUGAAGUUUUCUAUUCUUCCAGGGAUUGGUCCACAGAUCUUGCCCACUGUAAAUGUUCAGAUGGACCCUUGAAGGAAGAAAACAUCGAAGGAGGAAAGAGAAGGCUUUGACAUAAAUUGAGAGGAACAAGGAGAAAGAGGUUCGUUGCUCUGGAAACCAAGGAAGAAUCAAAGAGGAGAAUGGAAGAUGUCACAUAUCUAAGAAUUCUUUAUUGGAUUGGGCAAUUGAGGAUUCACAGAUGAUCAGAGGAGCCAGAGACAAAUCAGAGUGGUCAGUCUCUGCCUACCAAAUUCAGAAUCUCUUGACAGGGUUCUGGUUUGGGUAUGACUACAUUAGUAGCUA